GGGCAUGGGGAAUCAAAGACUGUCGUAAUGUGCUAUAAGUGGAAUUAAAAGAAGCAAAUAAAUUCGCACGUAUUUAUGCCAACACCACACACAAGGCCUGUUCAUAAUUAUUGCACCAUCAAGAGUCCUGCUGACGCCAGACGGGCGUUGGCGUGCCUAAAUUAGUUGUUUGGGAUUAUGCCACAUCAACGCCCCGCAAAAUCUCCACUUUGGCACGCAGCCAACAAUGGAAAGGCUUCCGGCCAUCGGCGUCGACUUCGGGGCGGCAUAUUUUUUAAUUAUGUGCUUCAAAACUGAAAACGAAUUAACCAU